UACGAAGGGUGCAAGCGUUACUCGGAAUUACUGGGCGUAAAGCGUGCGUAGGUGGUUUGUUAAGUCUGAUGUGAAAGCCCUGGGCUCAACCUGGGAAUGGCAUUGGAUACUGGCGGGCUAGAGUGCGGUAGAGGGUAGUGGAAUUCCCGGUGUAGCAGUGAAAUGCGUAGAGAUCGGGAGGAACAUCUGUGGCGAAGGCGACUACCUGGACCAGCACUGACACUGAGGCACGAAAGCGUGGGGAGCAAACAGG
rnacentral:rRNA from 1 species